AUUAGCUAGCUGGUGAGGUAACGGCUCACCAAGGCUACGAUCGGUAGCCGGCCUGAGAGGGCGGACGGCCACACUGGGACUGAGACACGGCCCAGACUCCUACGGGAGGCAGCAGUGGGGAAUUGUUCGCAAUGGGCGCAAGCCUGACGACGCAACGCCGCGUGGAGGAUGAAGGUCUUCGGAUUGUAAACUCCUGUUGCCCGGGACGAACGCCUCCGACCUAAUACGUCGGAGGGUGACGGUACCGGGUGAGGAAGCCCCGGCUAACUCUGUGCCAGCAGCCGCGGUAAUACAGAGGGGGCAAGCGUUGUUCGGAAUUACUGGGCGUAAAGGGCGCGUAGGCGGCCCGCUAAGUCGAACGUGAAAUCCCUGGGCUCAACCCAGGAACUGCGUUCGAUACUGGCAGGCUUGAAUCCGGGAGAGGGAUGCGGAAUUCCAGGUGUAGCGGUGAAAUGCGUAGAUAUCUGGAGGAACACCGGUGGCGAAGGCGGCAUCCUGGACCGGCAUUGACGCUGAGGCGCGAAAGCUAGGGGAGCAAACGGGAUUAGAUACCCCGGUAGUCCUAGCCCU
rnacentral:rRNA from 1 species